GCAAGUCGAACGAAGUCGAUGGAGCUUGCUCCGGUUGAUUUAGUGGCGAACGGGUGCGUAACACGUGAGGAAUCUGUCCCGGACUCUGGGAUAACAGUUGGAAACGGCUGCUAAUACCGGAUGUCUUCAUUUGGCCGCAUGGUUGUUUGAAGAAAGAUUUAUCGGUUUGGGAGGAUCUCGCGGCCUAUCAGCUUGUUGGAGAGGUAAUGGCUCACCAAGGCAACGACGGGUACCGGGACUGAGAGGUCGAUC
rnacentral:rRNA from 1 species